GAAAUGUGGGCACCGCAGGUCGCCAGGGUGUCUGAUCCCACUGCGAGCUGAUCCUGGAGACUGCAGGAGUCUGUGCUGCCUGCAACCAUGAGCCUUUUGGGCAGCUGUGAAGAAAUAGAAGUUGUCAGCAGUGAAUGAUGAGAGUCCCUCCUGGCAGUCACAAUUCCACUGCCUGAUGGACGGAGGGGUCCUGUGGCGCCUGGAGGGGACAGAUAAGGCUCUGGUGGUGCCGUUCAGUCCUCAACAAACUGAGUGUGUGGGUCGCUAUGAUGUUUGCUGUGAUCCUGGUGGGACAAAAGAAAUCCCGUGCUGGCAAAGGGAACCAACAGAAACCUGGGGAAAAGGUCUGGGAAAAGGAUAAAGCCUCACUUCUUCACGUUCAGAGGGGACCUACAGUUGUUGGGCGAGAUGACCUUGGAGGUCUUUUCCAAUGUUAGUGGUUCUUUGCAGUGGAACCUGAGGGCUCUGGGCUAAUGGAGAGCCAAACACGCAUAGAGGGGCUGUGAUGAGGCUGAUCCUCGUGCCGGCGUGUUUGCUCCAUCCCUUUCCAUAGCAGGGACACGGACGGUGCCAGCUGCCCCACUGUAUUUGUGGGGCCCAUCUGCUGGAGCCCCAGCCAGAUGGUGAGGGUCAAAGGUAGGCUGGCCUCGAACCCGGCUCCCCCAGCAGCCCGGAUGUGUUGCAAUAACAGAGAGAAGAAUUCAAAGGGUCAAAUUCCUCCGGAGUGUAACGUCACUGAAUGUGAGCAGCUCAGACGUCCAGCGAUGCGCUCAGGCAGUCCGGUACCUUAACAGGGACACGUUUAAGGGGAUCAAUGUGUGACUGGUUUCCAGCAGAGUUUUCCUUCGCAGAGUUUUCUCCAGAUAUGUACGUCCAUGUUCUGAAACUCAGCCAACAUCCUGCUACCAAAACAAACCCCACAACUGCGCCGUGCCUGGAACCACUACGACUAAGAGCUGCCAUAUAAGAAGGAAGUCAGAACACAGCGGGUUGGUGUCAGACACUCAUCUGUCUGAAGAAAGCCCCUUUCUUUUAAGGGACCUUGCUUGUUGCGGGCUGAUGCCCAGAUACUGUGGAGAAUCCACUCCCCCCCAGAGUUCAAAAUACAGCCAGAUGAGAAACUAAAGAGCCUUUUUGCAAGGAAAUUGAGCUUUAUUUAAGCAUCAUAGCCUAUGAGUGCGUGGUCAGAGCUGCUGGCUGGCCACGGAUGGAUGGAGCACACAGGGUUGGGACUGCUGUA
ensembl:lncRNA